ACGCCUUAGUUGUCGAUUGCUAUAACUCUCAUUUCUCUACAUCGCCCUUUCACGGCGGAAACACGGGUUCGAGUCCCGUUGGGCGUGCCA
rnacentral:tRNA from 1 species